GAUGAACGCUGACAGAAUGCUUAACACAUGCAAGUCUUUGGCGAAGCUGUGCUUGCACAGCCUAGCCAAGGCGGACGGGUGAGUAACGCGUAAGGAACUUGCCCUGCAGUCAGGGAUAACAGACGGAAACGACUGAUAAGACCUGGUAAAGUCAGGCGGACUCAUGUCCAGCCUGAUGAAAAGAGAUGCUGCAGGAGAGCCUUGCGCCCUAUUAGCUUGUUGGUGGGGUAACGGCCCACCAAGGCGAUGAUAGGUAGCCGGCCUGAGAGGGUGGACGGCCACAAGGGGACUGAGAGACGGCCCUUACUCCUACGGGAGGCAGCAGUGGGGAAUAUUGGACAAUGGCGGCAACCCUGAUCCAGCAAUUCUGUGUGCACGAUGAAGGUUUUCGGAUUGUAAAGUGCUUUCAGCAGGGAAGAAAAAAAUGACGGUACCUGCAGAAGAAGCGACGGCUAAAUACGUG
rnacentral:rRNA from 1 species